AGUGAACGCUGGCGGUAGGCCUAACACAUGCAAGUCGAACGGCAGCACAGUAAGAGCUUGCUCUUACGGGUGGCGAGUGGCGGACGGGUGAGGAAUACAUCGGCAUCUACUUUUUCGUGGGGGAUAACGUAGGGAAACUUACGCUAAUACCGCAUACGAUCUACGGGUGAAAGCAGGGGAUCUUCGCACCUUGCGCGAUUGAAUGAGCCGAUGUCGGAUUAGCUAGUUGGGGGGGUAAAGGCCCACCAGGGCGACGAUCCGUAGCUGGUCUGAGAGGAUGAUCGGCCACACUGGAACUGAGACACGGUCCAGACUCCUACGGGAGGCAGCAGUGGGGAAUAUUGGGCAAUGGGCGCAAGCCUGAUCCAGCCAUACCGCGUGGGUGAAGAAGGCCUUCGGGUUGUAAAGCCCUUUUGUUGGGAAAGAAAAGCAGCAGGUUAAUACCCCGCUGUUCUGACGGUACCCAAAGAAUAAGCGCCGGCUAACUUCGUG
rnacentral:rRNA from 1 species